rnacentral:rRNA from 1 species
CUUGCUGGGUGGAUUAGUGGCGAACGGGUGAGUAACACGUGGGUGAUCUGCCCUGCACUUCGGGAUAAGCCUGGGAAACUGGGUCUAAUACCGGAUAGGACCUCGGGAUGCAUGUUCCGGGGUGGAAAGGUUUUCCGGUGCAGGAUGGGCCCGCGGCCUAUCAGCUUGUUGGUGGGGUAACGGCCCACCAAGGCGACGACGGGUAGCCGGCCUGAGAGGGCGACCGGCCACACUGGGACUGAGACACGGCCCAGACUCCUACGGGAGGCAGCAGUGGGGAAUAUUGCACAAUGGGCGCAAGCCUGAUGCAGCGACGCCGCGUGAGGGAUGACGGCCUUCGGGUUGUAAACCUCUUUCAGUACCGACGAAGCGCAAGUGACGGUAGGUACAGAAGAAGCACCGGCCAACUACGUGCCAGCAGCCGCGGUAAUACGUAGGGUGCGAGCGUUGUCCGGAAUUACUGGGCGUAAAGAGCUCGUAGGCGGUUUGUCGCGUCGUCUGUGAAAACCCGCAGCUCAACUGCGGGCUUGCAGGCGAUACGGGCAGACUUGAGUACUGCAGGGGAGACUGGAAUUCCUGGUGUAGCGGUGAAAUGCGCAGAUAUCAGGAGGAACACCGGUGGCGAAGGCGGGUCUCUGGGCAGUAACUGACGCUGAGGAGCGAAAGCGUGGGUAGCGAACAGGAUUAGAUACCCUGGUAGUCCACGCCGUAAACGGUGGGCGCUAGGUGUGGGUUUCCUUCCACGGGAUCCGU